rnacentral:rRNA from 1 species
CGACGAUGGAUAGGGGUUCUGAGAGGAAGGUCCCCCACAUUGGAACUGAGACACGGUCCAAACUCCUACGGGAGGCAGCAGUGAGGAAUAUUGGUCAAUGGACGAGAGUCUGAACCAGCCAAGUAGCGUGAAGGAUGACUGCCCUAUGGGUUGUAAACUUCUUUUAUAUGGGAAUAAAACAGGGUAUGCAUACCCUCUUGUAUGUACCAUACGAAUAAGGAUCGGCUAACUCCGUGCCAGCAGCCGCGGUAAUACGGAGGAUCCGAGCGUUAUCCGGAUUUAUUGGGUUUAAAGGGAGCGUAGGUGGAUUGUUAAGUCAGUUGUGAAAGUUUGCGGCUCAACCGUAAAAUUGCAGUUGAAACUGGCAGUCUUGAGUACAGUAGAGGUGGGCGGAAUUCGUGGUGUAGCGGUGAAAUGCUUAGAUAUCACGAAGAACUCCGAUUGCGAAGGCAGCUCACUGGACUGCAACUGACACUGAUGCUCGAAAGUGUGGGUAUCAAACAGGAUUAGAUACCCUGGUAGUCCACACAGUAAACCAUGAAUGCUCGCUGUUUGCG